rnacentral:piRNA from 1 species
UGGGCCUGCUUGGAUAAGUUCCUCCUCCAC